AGUCGUAUGGUCUAAUGGUUAUGAUUUCUCGUUCACAACUUCAUGUGUUCAACUGCCCCGAGAAGGUUCCGUGUUCGAUCCACGGUACGACUA